rnacentral:sRNA from 1 species
GCUGGGUGUGGUGGCACGUGCCUGUAAUCCCAGCUACUCGGAGGCUGAGGCAAAAGAAUCACUCGAACCCGGGAGGCGGAGGUUGCAGUGAGCUGAGAUUGCGCCAUUGCACUCCAGCCUGGGGUCAGAGUGAGACUAUGUCUCAAACAAACAACAAAAAAAAAGCUAGUCUAUUUUUCUUUUUUUCCUUUUUUUUUUUUUUUUUUUUUUUUUGAGAUGAAGUCUUGCUCUUGUGCCCCAGUCUGGAGUGCAAUGGCACGAUGUCAGCUCACUGCAACCUCCACCUCCUGGGUUCAAGCGAUUCUCUUGCCUCAG